GCCAGGCACGGUGGUGCGUGCCUUUAGUCCCAGCUACUUGGGAGGCUGAGGCUGGAGGAUCACUUGAGUCCAGGAGUUCUGGGCUGUAGUGCGCCAUGCCGAUAGGGUGUCCACACUAAGUUCGGCAUCAAUAUGGUAAACUCCCGGGAGCUGGGGACCACUAGGUUGCCUAAGGAGGGGUGAACCAGCCCAGGUCUGAAACGGAGCAGAUCAAAACUCCUAUGCUGACCAGUAGUGGGAUCGCACCUGUGAACAACCACUGCACUCACACAUCAGGCUACUUUUUUACUUUCU
ensembl:misc_RNA Metazoa_SRP Metazoan signal recognition particle RNA